AGGGCGAGGCUCCAACGUUCGGGAGCCUCUUCCCCCGUAUCCCGCCCCUGCGGGUCCUCGCCCGUUUCUCCCCCACGAAUUAAUAGUUCCCUUGUAUUUUAUGAUUGUAAGAAAACUGCUUUCAAAAAGUGCCUGUUCCUUGCAAAACUGAUAGUGCCUUUGAAACAUCCAUGUGUCAACAUCAAGUUUGCUGCUUCAAGAAAGAGAACCAUCAACACAGAUGGUACUGGAAGUGGUCUGAAAUGACAAGCUGAGUUUGGGGACUGGACCACAUACCUCCCUGCAGGC